UACGAAGGGGGCUAGCGUUGUUCGGAGUUACUGGGCGUAAAGGGCGCGUAGGCGGCGCAUCAAGUCAGGCGUGAAAGCCCUGGGCUCAACCCGGGAAUUGCGCUUGAGACUGGUGUGCUCGAGUACGGGAGAGGAUAGUGGAAUUCCCAGUGUAGAGGUGAAAUUCGUAGAUAUUGGGAAGAACACCAGUGGCGAAGGCGGCUAUCUGGACCGUAACUGACGCUGAGGCGCGAAAGCGUGGGGAGCAAACGGG
rnacentral:rRNA from 1 species